rnacentral:rRNA from 1 species
AUGAACGCUGGCGGCGUGCUUAACACAUGCAAGUCGAACGAUGAGGCCGGAGCUUGCUCUGGUGGAUUAGUGGCGAACGGGUGAGUAACACGUGAGUAACCUGCCCUUGACUCUGGGAUAAGCGUUGGAAACGACGUCUAAUACCGGAUACGACGCGCGAAGGCAUCUUCUGCGCGUGGAAAGAAUUUCGGUCAAGGAUGGACUCGCGGCCUAUCAGCUAGUUGGUGAGGUAACGGCCCACCAAGGCGACGACUGGUAGCCGGCCUGAGAGGGUGACCGGCCGCACUUGGACUGAGACACGGCCCAGACUCCUACGGGAGGCAGCAGUGGGGAAUAUUGCACAAUGGGCGGAAGCCUGAUGCAGCGACGCCGCGUGAGGGAUGAAGGCCUUCGGGUUGUAAACCUCUUUCAGCAGGGACGAAGCGUGAGUGACGGUACCUGCAGAAGAAGCACCGGCUAACUACGU